rnacentral:lncRNA from 1 species
CCAAACUCCUCUGCUUCAAACUCAUGCGUCUUUCGCGGAAUGCAGCAGCAUUAUGCCUUGAAAGCACCUUCUGCCCAAAGAACGGGCAUGCCCUGGAACAACGCCCUCCCAGGCGACAGACUCUAGCAAAACAAAGGAAAAGGACUCUAUCUAGACCUAAAACACACAAGAAAAACGAGCACAAACAUGGGCUCAUCACACGCACACACUUUAAACACGAUUGUCCUCAAGCGUGCACAUGCAAUUAUGCCCAAAAGACAGACACAAACAAAACGGACAAGACUCGACACAAGGGUUAGCACAACCAAAACGCAAUACAAAAAUGCAAGAGAAUAUCUAAGCAAAAAAAACAUGCAAGCAAUAAGAGACAAAAAAAAAUCAUGCAAUGCCAUCAAUUGAGUCAAGAAGGGGUCUGUGGGCGUAAGGAUGUUCCUCCCCAUCGCUCAUUCUCUCAAGUGUUUUUGGAAAGUGUUUACGCUCGUGACAUCAUGCUAGGUUCUGCCAUAGGCUUGCCUAUCUUCUAUGUCUCCCCCUUUAGUCAAAGUUCUAGGUGCAUCUCAUUAGGUCUUUCAUGGGUUGUAACGUGGCUUAAGGCAUAAGGUGAGAAUUUUUGGUACGAGGCUAAGGUCAUUUUGAACUUCAUUCUGGGCAACAGACUUCCCAGAUUUUUAAGAUCCUUGCCUAUUCUUGCGGGCUUAAGCACAUACUGACCAAAACAUUAAAUUUUUUUUUAUUCUUUUUUUUCUUUUCUUUUCUUUCUUUUCUUUUCUGGACUUUUUCUCUAUUUUGGGAUUAGAUGUCCCAUUUUGCAAUUUUUGCACUAGUCCUGCCCAUAGCAUCCACUACACUAUCUUCCCUUCUUUUGCCCUUAAGUUCAGUUUGACCAGGACGGCUCAAUUUUGGGUAAAUUUUAUCAGUGAAUUCAAAUGAAUUAUUAAGCUCAAAAGGGUUCACAAGUGAUAGAUGUAGGGUUGGUCAGUUUGGCUUUGUGGGCUAAAGAAAGAAUUGCCUAAAUCAUUUAACACACCUAGACUAUGUACACAGGGUUCGACUAAGAAUCAAGGCAAGUUCUAGCAUUACCCUAGUCAAGAUGUCAAUUUUCACACAAGAAAGAAAAAGCUGUUAUGGGCAUAAGACAGCAUAUAUCAAAGCUCAAAACCUCACAUGGUAUGCCCACAACCCUAUCCAUCGUCCUCAACUACACACGGCAUGCAUUGAAAUUCAAAUCUCAAACUACUUGCACAACAAACUCAGAAUAUAAUCAUGCAUAUUUGAUUGCAAAUCGAAAGGCUAACCACAGGACAAAGAAACGACGCUCGGCCCACCCCACACACACACUUUGCCUUGGGCAAAGUAGGUGUGUAGAGGGGGUCGAAAAACAGAC